AAAUACACAAAAAAACACAACGAAACGGAUGCUACAAUGUCUCUACUUAAAGCAAAGUAUGAGACCUUCUGCAUCCCCUGGAUAUAAAUGUAGCAAUGAAGGAGUACAAGAAAAAAAUGAAUGUAUACAGUGUAUAAAUACACCCCAACAAAGUGUGAGGUCCUAAAGACCUACACUGAACUAGUAUCACUAUCUCUCAAAGAAUGAGAAUAGGGGGAGAAACAAUCUCGCUGCUAAAAUCUGGUGGAGGAUACUGGAAAAAUGAAAAUAAAAAAACUUUAUUAGAAUCAGCUAAAAAAUAUAUCCGUCCCAGAAGUGACUCCUGCAGUAUUCAUCCAAGCAGAAACCCCCUAUAUAGACACAUAAACCUUGUCCAGCCAGCUACCUAAAGUCU
rnacentral:lncRNA from 1 species